rnacentral:rRNA from 1 species
GACAGAGGAUGCAAGCGUUAUCCGGAAUGAUUGGGCGUAAAGCGUCUGUAGGUGGCUUUUUAAGUCCGCCGUCAAAUCCCAGGCUCAACCCUGGACAGGCGGUGGAAACUACCAAGCUGGAGUACGGUAGGGGUAGAGGGAAUUUCCAGUGGAGCGGUGAAAUGCGUAGAUCUUGGAAAGACCACCAAUGGCGAAGGCACUCUACUGGGCCAUGACUGACACUAAGAGACGAAAGCUAGGGGAGCAAAUGGG